rnacentral:rRNA from 1 species
CGGGUGAGUAACACGUACCUAACUUACCCCAAAGACUGGAAUAACUAUGUGAAAACGUAGCUAAUGCCGGAUAGGAUAUUGGAGGGAGUCCUCUGAUAUUUAAAGAUGCGUUUGCAUCACUUUGGGAUAGAGGUGCGGUCCAUUAGCUAGUUGGUAGGGUAAAGGCCUACCAAGGCAAUUAUGGAUAGCCGAACUGAGAGGUUGAACGGCCACACUGGAACUGAGAUACGGUCCAGACUCCUACGGGAGGCAGCAGUAGGGAAUCUUCCACAAUGGGCGAAAGCCUGAUGGAGCAAUUCCGCGUGAGGGAUGACGGUUUUCGGACUGUAAACCUCUGUUGUAAGGGAAGAACACUUAAAAUAGGAAAUGAUUUUAAGCUGACAUUACCUUACCAGAAAGUGACGGCUAACUACGUGCCAGCAGCCGCGGUAAUACGUAGGUCACAAGCGUUAUCCGGAUUUAUUGGGCGUAAAGGGUCCGCAGGUUGUUUAGCAAGUUCAAGGUUAAAGGCUAAAGCUCAACUUUAGUUCGCCUUGAAAACUGCUAGACUAGAGUAUGAGAGAGAGCAGUGGAAUUCCACAUGUAGCGGUGGAAUGCAUUGAUAUGUGGAGGAACACCAGUUGCGAAGGCGGCUGCUUGGCUCAUUACUGACACUCAGGGACGAAAGCGUGGGUAGCAAACAGGAUUAGAUACCCUGGUAGUCCACGCCGUAAACGAUCUAGAUUAGAUGCUGGAAUUAUUCAGUGUCGCAGCUAACGCAUUAAAUCUAGCGCCUGUGAAGUAUGCACGCAAGUGUAAAACACAAAGGAAUUGACGGGGACCCGCACAAGCGGUGGAGCAUGUGGUUUAAUUCGAUGAUACGCGAAGAACCUUACCUAGACUUGACAUCCUUGGCAAAGCUAUAGAAAUAUAGUGGAGGUAUUCCAAGUGACAGGUGGUGCAUGGUUGUCGUCAGCUCGUGUCGUGAGAUGUUCGGUUAAGUCCGGCAACGAGCGCAACCCUUGCCUUUAGUUACUAACAUUCAGUUGAGGACUCUAGAGGGACUGCCGGGAAACCGGGAGGAAGGUGGGGAUGACGUCAAAUCAUCAUGCCCCUUAUGUCUAGGGCCACACACGUGCUACAAUGGCCAGCACAAAGAG